GAUGAACGCUGGCGGCGUGCCUAAUACAUGCAAGUCGAGCGAACGGACGAGAAGCUUUCUUCUCUGAUGUUAGCGGCGGACGGGGGAGUAACACGUGGAUAACCUACCUAUAAGACUGGGAUAACUUCGGGAAACCGGAGCUAAUACCGGAUAAUAUUUUGAACCGCAUGGUUCAAAAGUGAAAGACGGUCUUGCUGUCACUUAUAGAUGGAUCCGCGCUGCAUUAGCUAGUUGGUAAGGUAACGGCUUACCAAGGCAACGAUGCAUAGCCGACCUGAGAGGAUGAUCGGCCACACUGGAACUGAGACACGGUCCAGACUCCUACGGGAGGCAGCAGUAGGGAAUAUUGCGCAAUGGGCGAAAGCCUGACGGAGCAACGCCGCGUGAGUGAUGAAGGUCUUCGGAUCGUAAAACUCUGUUAUUAGGGAAGAACAUAUGUGUAAGUAACUGUGCACAUCUUGACGGUACCUAAUCAGAAAGCCACGGCUAACUACGUG
rnacentral:rRNA from 1 species